rnacentral:rRNA from 1 species
GGAUCAGUAGGUUGGUCGUGCCACGGGUAUGUACUGGCCUCACUGGUUCCUCCUUCUUGUAGAACUGUGAUGCCAUUAAUUUGGUGUUGCAGGGAAACAGGACUGUUACUUUGAAAAAUUAGAGUGUUUAAAGCAAGCUAACGCUUGAAUACAUUAGCAUGGAAUAAUGAAAUAGGACGUCGAUCCUAUUUUGUUGGUUUCUAGGAUUAACGUAAUGAUU